UCAGAUGGUAGAGCGCUCGCUUAGCAUGCGAGAGGUACGGGGAUCGAUACCCCGCAUCUCCACUUUUGCUUACAUCUCUUGCGUCAGUGUGUUUUUCCCCCUUUGGUUAGCUUCACAAUUUUAGGAAUUUCGUCGCCCGGCUACUUUAUCUCCACAGUUUAAAUGCUUGAUUAACGUCUUCUCAAGAGCUAAGUCAUUUAAUUUUUACUAAGUUUUACGCACCGAACCAUUUGGCAUUCGAAAACUCGCUGAUUAUUCUUUCUUUUCUUCGCAUCUCAGUUGGUAUAGGGUUGUAUGAGGUUGAAAAUCCAGUCAAGAGGUAAUUUGUACUACCUUCUCCUGUUUGAUUCAUGUAAUUAAAAUGUUCUUAUUUUGAAGCGUGUAUUUUUAGUUUGAUUUUUGGAAUAAAAUACACUAAGAUAGAAGUGAAGCAGACAUUAUAUAUAUCUAUAUAUUAUACAUUUGAGAAACAUUACACACUAAGAUCGAAGUUAAAUGGAUUAGAGAUGGACAAUAAUGUAGUCAUACAUUUUGCUUUCUUCAUAAACUCAGACAUGAAUUCACAAUUUAAAUGCUUUGACAUUUAAUGGAGAACAUGUGAUGUUAUUGAGCAUUGGCUGCAAAUUUGUUCUCACCGUAGCUUCAGGUUCUUCAGAAGCCUGUUCAAUAAGAAAUAGCCAUGUAAAGAAUUGAUCAAUGAUGAGGAAAUAAGCAUUAUUUAGUUGUUUGAGAAACAAACACUAUUUCUUCUUUUUAAGAAAAUUUGAAAUGCAGCAAAACAAUAUCAAUUUGAGUUCAGAGAUUCGUCCAACUUUAUUAGAAGUAACUCUUAAUUAGUCCUCUUUUGGCUUAUAUUCUUAGUGCUGCUUACACAGAAGGUGUUUUCUUUCAAUUGUAAGUGCUGCUGAAAUUAUCUUGUCGAGAAGUGACUAAUUGGGAUUGCUGAAGGAUUAUCGAGGAAUUAAUGUGAGGAGCUCAUAAAAUAUCUGUUGCAUCAUGUGAUGAUAUGUAUUAUCAGCACUAGAAACAAUUGUUAAACAAUUGUGUUUUGUAUAAUGAAGUGGUAGGGGAUCAAGAUGUAGGACUUAUGCACGUGAUUUAAAACAAGUAGGAUUCGUUUUAGUUAUUUAGAAGCUUAAUUAAUAGGUAAAUGUGCAGACAUCUCUAAACUUUCCACUUGCAAAAAGUUGAAACUUUAAGCAUUUAUUCUUUACAAUAUAGGGGUCAGUAUUUUAUUUUAACAAGGAGUGUGACUAGCCUUUGACUUAAAGUUACUAAAAAUGGAAAGGUGGUUAAUAAGCAGUACCAGAAAUAAGAGAAUAACAACAUAUGGAAUCUAUACAAGGUAUGUCAAUUUUCAAAGUUACCAAGUGUCACAUACUUUGUUUUGUCAACAAGCGUUAAAAGAUAACAUUUUGAUGGUGUUUCUUAAAUCAUCUUUCUGAAAAUUAAUGUUUGGCAGAUAUAACAAAAUGCUUAGCCUUAAAAAUACAGAAUGUAUCAUUGACUUGUAUGUGGAUGAAAAGAUUAGUUUGGUUGUGUGGAGAGUAUAGAUUUGCUAUACCUUUGUUCAUUGGCAUACCUGCUAUUGCUUUCAACGGCUUUGUAAUUAGGUAAAGGUACAUGGCCGUUUUCAAUUUGCAUGAUAUCCUUCACAAGCAACUCAUAAUGCCUCCUCACUUCCUCUGCUGAUUUUCCACCUACACACCUGGCAAUGUUAUGCCAGCGGUCAGGAGUUUCCUUGUCAAAUAAAGCCAAAGCCUCUUCAAACUUCUUGUUUUGCCUUGUAGUCCAUGAGGCCAUUAUUGAUUAAUAGGGAUAGAGGGUUGUGAGCUAGCAAAGUCAAGUACUCAAGUGAAUGGUAUGGACAAGAUAAUGCUAAGCUAGCUAGUUCCUUAUAAGCUGGAGGAGAUGGUCUUGGUUUGUGGCAAGUUGGCGAAUAUUUCGUUUUCUUUUAGGGGAGGUAGAAUACAUGAUUCUUGAAGUAAUGUUAAUAGGAAUAGGUGGAGGAAGAAUAAGAAAAUAGUAUUUGUGACCAUCAGCGGGUGGAUCAGAUAAGAAAUUCACCCAGCUGGAGGAGAUUAGAUCCCCUAAUUCCAAUUCUAUGGCUAAGAUAGACACGCCAAUGUUAUAAUAUCUUAGGCCGAAAAACAAUUAUCAAGAUAUUUUGCCAUCUUUAGGUUGCAACAUGUUGCUUAAAUUCUGCCUCAAUUGGAAAACCAUUUGUUACCCUUCGCCUUCAAUUGUUGUCUGCCGGCCAUUUUUUGACAAUGUGUGCAUUGACCGAAGCAUUGUUGAUCUUUGUGUUUUGAUCGAUGAUAACAAUUAUGAACAAAGUAAAAAGACUAAGUGUUUAAUGUUAUGCAUUAACUCAAUUUCAUUGUUUUAUAAGUUUUAUCAUCUUACAUUUAAAUGAUUAUAACUAUUAGGUUGCCUAUUGCUGUAUCAAAUUAUGAUUCCGAGUUGCAAGUUGGAACAGGCAAGUGGCUGCUGCUUAUGUUUUUUUCCCCUCUACAAAUGGAGUCACCCUGUGCUUAUUUCUAUUACCGCGUCUUCUGAAUUUCCCUCCUUUUGUGUUUCAACAUAACGUGUAGGUACUAUCGGGGUUAUCAUGGUGUAAAACUCUGAGAAUACCUGUUGUGUGAUGAGUGUUUCUCUUUUUAACCAUGAUUGAUUGAUUUCCCUCUUCAUUAGCUAACCUAUGCGUGUUUUAUGUACUUAUUCUCUCUUGUACUCCUAUACUAUCGUUCUGGUGUUGUUAUUUGUUUUAACUAAUAAGGAAAUAUAAGUCAACUAGUAUGAAACUGACUAGCAUUUGACCCUAAAACUCUUUUCAAAACCAGUAUCAAAAAUCUAUGUCCAGAUGCACGAGCUAUAUAUAGUCAGCCAUCUUGAUUUCCUGCAGCUACUAGUUCAGUUUCCAAAAUAAUUUCUGCUUUGUAGUCACUCUAAUAGAGAAACAGGACAAACAUUUCCAAGAUGUAUUGCUUCUUCUGUUUCUUUGCUAUGGUAGUUUUUGCCUUGUGCUUAAAGGAGAAAAUGAACUUUUAAUUUCUACGACAAUGGUUUUUCCAGUUUAGAUCAUAUUGAGGAGUUUGUCAUUCUGAGAUGAACUAUUUUUGAGUCAGAGUUGUAGUUCUGAAAGCCUCUCAAAAUUGCCAAAAAGGGGAGAAUUGUCCCUUUUACACCACUUGCUUUGACACCUUUUUCAUUUGAGAUACUGCCUGUCCAUAUGAAUGAGGUGGAGGGAUACCUUUUGUCAAAUCUCAUAGUAGUUUAUAUUCUAGCAAAAAAACUACAGUAGGAAUCUAUGCCGUUAUGCAACAAUGUGUCUGAUAUUUAAGAAUCCUUUUAGGAAAAAUGACAUUUUAUAGCCGCUAUAAAAAUAAUAGCCGAAAAAAUGUAUAAAAUUUAUAUAUAUAUAUAUACAUUUUGUAUGUUAUAUACAAAAAUUAUACAAGUUUAUACACUUUUUCGGUUACCAGACGUAAAUAGUUUCUGGUGCGGGAUAAAAGUGAUAAUACCCCAUCCUUUUAUCUAGAAUACCUUCUACAUGGUGUAUCCAAGGUACAAUAAGUUUUCCACCCCUUCCCCACUUAAUCAAUGGUAAACUAAAAGUUACAGGUAUCAGAUAAUCGCGGUAAACUCCCCAAAAGAAAAGGAAAUAAUAAUAGUCCAAAAAUAACAAUUAUGAGGCAAAGCGUUUUACCCCCAGCCCCGCCCCACCCCGGAUUUUUGAACUGUAUGUUAACUCCUAUGUGGAAAAAAUGCCUGAAGCCUCCUUUGGUUUUGAAAACCAUGUAUUUCCCCCCUACAAUCUCAUAGCAUUCGUUUUUUCUUUAAAAACUUGAUUGAAGAUGUCCAGAAUAUCCUCAUUUCUGCAUUUAAAAAAUCUAUGUAAUAGAAUGUAUACUUGGCAACUUAUCACUGGUUUCUCAAUCUCAAAGUAGCAUGACCAUAAGGUUUUUGAUAAGCUUAUUUAUAUAUUAAUUAUGAAUUUAUCUAGUUUAAUUGCAAUUUUGUUUUGUGAUGUCGCAAGUUAAUGUAGUUAUUUGCAUUCUGUUUCAAAACAUGGUCUAUCAAAAUAAUCCAAAAAAAAUUAGCUGCUAUAAAGUAGAGAGGGGGUAUGCUUCUAUUCUUAUUUAGAAUAAUGAACUAAGGCCUACUUUCUGUGGGAAAUUAUUGACUCGAGAUCAACAAUGUUCGAACCUGCAAUGAAGUAAAAAUUUGUUUCAAUUAUCUGGUAGAAAGUAUGUUUAACAGUCAAGAUGAAACAAAUCUGGCACAUAUCGAUCUCUAGUCAAAGAGAAAAGUCUUACUCCUAUGUAAAACACAGAUGUUAUCUGUGACUUCUCAAAGAUCAGAGGACUGAGAUUAGACCUUUUAACAACUGUUCAGUCCUAUGCUAGUAAAAGCUUGAGGAGUACACUAAGGUUGGAAUCUUUGGAUAUGCCAAAAAGAGAAGUGUAAUUUGUUGAAAAAAUCAAUAUAUAGUGUGAUUGAAUCAACUUAGAAAUUUGCAACAAAUAGAAUAAGCAGGUGGCUUUCCUUAUUUUUCUUUCCUUUUUUUUUUGUGGGUGAUGAAAUGUUCCAAAUGAUAAAAAGAUAGAUGCAGGAGAAGUAUCUUCUCAUCUUAUAUUUAGAUAAGAGACCUUAGCUAAUGCAAGAUUAGUGGUCAUGACUUUAUAUUCUGGAUAUGUUUUCUUCUUUUCUGAGUCAAAUGUGGGCGCUUGUGUGUGCAUAGCUGUGAAUUAGAACAAUUGUCCGUCUAAGGAGAGCGUUUAUAACAGUAAUAUGCUGAGCACUUGCAUACUUUUGAUCAGAAUAGAAUUUUCUUGUCUUAUUCUCUUUGCUUUUUUAAGGUCUGAUAAGCAAAUGGCUGGUAAAAGGAGAAUUCCAAAGAGGAAAUUAAGAUAUGCAGAAUCAGCAUGUCUUUUUGAGGAAUGUUUUCUAGCUUUCUAGUGGUAUAUUAUUGGAUUCUGGUAUUCAGUGGUUAGAAAUAAAAGACAAUUUUCUAAGAGAUGUCAAAAUUAUUGAAAUUAUUGCUUUCUUUAACUGGUUUGUGAUAUUUAUAUUGCAAUAUGCGCAGGUUGGUGGUCAUAAAACAUAAAGAUCUUUCACUGGUGUCUAAUUCGUGGUGUAAAUAAGAAGCCCAAGUUUGAUAAGAAUAUGUAUUAAGGUAGUUUGGUUCAUGUACUAGUUAUGCUGACAUUAUCCGUAAGGAUUGUUAAUAAUAAUAUUGAAAUUAUAUACUAUUGGGUGAAUAAUAAAUAAUAUAGGGAAUGCUAUGUAUGGAUGACCUGCUUUAGGGACAUUUUUAAAGUAUCAACAUCCCUUUGUAAUAUAAUGCCAUGAAUUCUUAUGUUCUUUCAGGUUUAUUUAACUUCAUUUAUCAUCAAUCAUUAUUCUCCAAGAUAGAGAAUUUGAUCGCCGUAGAGAAUAACAAUUCAGGCAAUUACUUGACCUUUUAACAGCCUGACCUUAUG
rnacentral:lncRNA from 1 species